GCCUUCGUGGUAUAGUGGUUAUCACGCUCGACGCGUAUUCCAGAGAUCCGUGGUUCGAGUCCCGGCGAAGGCG
rfam:Stegodyphus mimosarum contig55290, whole genome shotgun sequence.